CACCUCAUCAAUUGGAAGGGAUCCCUUCCAAUCAAUGAGAUCUUUUCACCUCAUCAAUUGGAAGGGAUCCCUUCCAAUCGAUGUGGUC
rnacentral:miRNA from 1 species